CAGUAGCCGCGGUAAUACGGAGGGGGCUAGCGUUGUUCGGAAUUACUGGGCGUAAAGCGCACGUAGGCUGCUUUGUAAGUCAGAGGUGAAAGCCCGGGGCUCAACCCCGGAUGUGCCUUUGAGACUGCAGAGCUAGAACGUCGGAGAGGUGAGUGGAAUUCCGAGUGUAGAGGUGAAAUUCGUAGAUAUUCGGAAGAACACCAGUGGCGAAGGCGGCUCACUGGACGACUGUUGACGCUGAGGUGCGAAAGCGUGGGGAUCAAACAGGAUUAGAUACCCGAGUAGUCCCUGUCUCUUAUAA
rnacentral:rRNA from 1 species